GGCAAGAUGGCCGAGCGGUCUAAGGCGCUGUGUUCAGGCAUUUAGAGCUUCAUUGAUCUAAUUCUUGAAUUCGCAGUCCGAAAGGGCGUGGGUUCGAAUCCCACUCUUGUCA
rnacentral:tRNA from 1 species